ACGCACAAAAUCUCCAGUCUGCACAGACUCAUAAGAACUGAACCAAUCCUUGUUACAACAAAUAUGAAAGGAACAUGUUGUAUCAAGAAUCCAUUCAUCAUCACGGGAAAUACGAGCAGCAAGAACAGCGAGGCAUUCACCCUCAGAGCUGUCGGUGGAAACGACAGCGGCCUUACCAGUACCAUCGGACUUAUCUUUCAGUUUGUAGGUACCGUUCCU
rnacentral:lncRNA from 1 species